rnacentral:tRNA from 1 species
UUCUGAAAAAAUUCAGAAGGGAAUA